rnacentral:lncRNA from 1 species
UUUAAAUUGUGCUAUAGCUCGUUUGUGAUCAAUACUACCAACCUUUCAAGCUUGAAAGACUUAUGUCGCCCAGCAGAUUGACUUGUUCAGUUCGUGAUCCCCACUUCACUCCUAUUUCAUUCCUUUCGACUCGCAUGAAAUAAAUCUUUUUUUCUCAACUAAACCACCUAUUAUGAUAUUGAUUUGCUUUUAUUUUCUUAGAAAA